GGAGAGAAAAGCAGCCCCAAUUACAAUUUUUAUGAGUAAGCAGGUAUUAAAGAGAACAAGUACUAUGAUUUAUAUCCAGGCUCCAAAUGAGGAGUUCAGGAUCGAACUCAGAAUGCAAAAAGCAUCACUAUAGCAGUCA